CAGCCAAUAUGAAAGUAGAAGUAUGGAGGGUGAGGCCUGCCCCAAUGGUUGUAUCUAAAAACGGUUGAUAAAAGUCGACUUCAUAAGGACAAUUGAAUGGCCGCGGUAACACUGACCGUGAUAAUGUAGCGUAAUCAAUAGCCAAUUAAUUGUUGGCCAGUAUGAAUGGCGUCACGAAGGCCCCACUGUCUUAAGAGAAUUCCCAGUGAAAUUGAAUUCGUAGUGAAGAUGCUACGUCCAAUUUGUUAGACGAAAAGACCCCAUUGAGCUUUACUGGAGUCUUACAUUGCUCGGAUCAACUCUCGCCCCCCCCUUGGCGGGGGGGUCGAAUUUAAAUGGAUAGCUUAGAUUAUGUGGUGUCAUAACCGUCGAUCAAGUAGUCCUUACAGGAUUACCCCCCCGAAGGUUGACCUAUUUGGGUGAAUGAAACCCCACUCUUCUUUGUUAAAUGAGCUAACCCUUUUCUCCCCUUAAAGGGGACAAUGUAAGUUGGACAGUUUGGUUGGGGCGACCGCCUUUUAAAGAGUAACGAAGGUGUGCUUAAGGUACAUAAUUUAUAACACAAGCCUGACUGCGAGGGGGACCCUCCGAGCAGACACCUAAAGUCUUCUCCCUUCCCCCCGAAGGUUAAAGACGAAUGGUGGGUUAUAGUGACCCGUUAUUUU
rnacentral:rRNA from 1 species